rnacentral:tRNA from 1 species
CAUUCUGUGCUAUAGAGCUAUUGUUAUUUACAUUAACAUGUAAUUUGUGCAAAUCAAAUCAGAUUGA